UUGCUUCAGAAGCAUGUACAAUAAAAUCAGAAUGAUAUAUAGAGAUUAACAUGGCCCCUGUGCAAGGAUGACAUGCAAAUUCGUGAAGUGUUCCAUAUUUAA
ensembl:snRNA U6 U6 spliceosomal RNA